AAAGUUUUAUGUAAUUUGACGCAAAGGAAGUCACUCUUGAUAGUUAAUUUAAAAUGUGCAACAAAGCCAACAAUUUAAGAACCAGUUGGGUUAUUUUCGAAAUUUGUGAGAAAUUACCAAGCUGUGAGCUCACCGCGAGGUUUUAGUAAAAUAUGUGAUGCUGAUGGUGGAUCCGUGAGAGUUGGCAACUUUGCCCUGUAUACAUGUGCCUUAAUUUAUAUAUUCUUUACCAUUUAUUGAGUCAACGGCUGUUCAAAUGUACAUGUUUAUGUUGAAAUCAGUUUAGUAAAUGGUGUUGUGUUGGAGUUUGCUACAGUUCUACUGCUCUCUAUUUUUUAUCUGUAGGUUUU